AUAGUGGUGGGUCAGUGGUGAGAUUCCCACUUGCCAUGUGGGAGACCUGGGUUCGAUUCUUGGCCACUGCA
rnacentral:tRNA from 1 species